GAGUUUGAUCAUGGCUCAGAGUGAACGCUGGCGGCGUGCCUAACACAUGCAAGUCGUGCGCGAAAGGGUAGCAAUACCUGAGUAAAGCGGCGAACGGGUGAGUAACACGUGGUUAACCUGCCGGAAUGUGGGGGAUACCCCGGGGAAACUCGGGACAAUACCGCAUAUGGUCUCCUGGGCUCGGGCCCGGGAGAGCAAAGCUGGGGAUCGUAAGACCUGGCGCAUUCCGAGGGGACCGCGGCCGAUUAGCUAGUUGGCGGGGUAAUGGCCCACCAAGGCAACGAUCGGUAGCCGGCCUGAGAGGGUGAUCGGCCACACCGGAACAGAGACACGGUCCGGACUCCUACGGGAGGCAGCAGUGGGGAAUUUUGCGCAAUGGGCGAAAGCCUGACGCAGCAACGCCGCGUGGAGGAUGAAGGUUCCCUGAA
rnacentral:rRNA from 1 species